GAUUAAAGGUAUUCCGGUAGACGAUGGCGAUGCGUUCCAUUAGAUAGUAGGCGGGGUAACGGCCCACCUAGUCUUCGAUGGAUAGGGGUUCUGAGAGGAAGGUCCCCCACAUUGGAACUGAGACACGGUCCAAACUCCUACGGGAGGCAGCAGUGAGGAAUAUUGGUCAAUGGGCGCAGGCCUGAACCAGCCAAGUAGCGUGAAGGAUGACUGCCCUAUGGGUUGUAAACUUCUUUUAUAAAGGAAUAAAGUCGGGUAUGUAUACCCGUUUGCAUGUACUUUAUGAAUAAGGAUCGGCUAACUCCGUGCCAGCAGCCGCGGUAAUACGGAGGAUCCGAGCGUUAUCCGGAUUUAUUGGGUUUAAAGGGAGCGUAGAUGGAUGUUUAAGUCAGUUGUGAAAGUUUGCGGCUCAACCGUAAAAUUGCAGUUGAUACUGGAUAUCUUGAGUGCAGUUGAGGCAGGCGGAAUUCGUGGUGUAGCGGUGAAAUGCUUAGAUAUCACGAAGAACUCCGAUUGCGAAGGCAGCCUGCUAAGCUGCAACUGACAUUGAGGCUCGAAAGUGUGGGUAUCAAACAGGAUUAGACACCCUGGUAGUCCACACGGUAAACGAUGAAUACUCGCUGUUUGCGAUAUACAGCAAGCGGCCAAGCGAAAGCGUUAAGUAUUCCACCUGGGGAGUACGCCGGCAACGGUGAAACUCAAAGGAAUUGACGGGGGCCCGCACAAGCGGAGGAACAUGUGGUUUAAUUCGAUGAUACGCGAGGAACCUUACCCGGGCUUAAAUUGCAGAUGAAUUACGGUGAAAGCCGUAAGCCGCAAGGCAUCUGUGAAGGUGCUGCAUGGUUGUCGUCAGCUCGUGCCGUGAGGUGUCGGCUUAAGUGCCAUAACGAGCGCAACCCUUGUUGUCAGUUACUAACAGGUUCCGCUGAGGACUCUGACAAGACUGCCAUCGUAAGAUGUGAGGAAGGUGGGGAUGACGUCAAAUCAGCACGGCCCUUACGUCCGGGGCUACACACGUGUUACAAUGGGGGGUACAGAGGGCCGCUACCACGCGAGUGGAUGCCAAUCCCAAAAACCUCUCUCAGUUCGGACUGGAGUCUGCAACCCGACUCCACGAAGCUGGAUUCGCUAGUAAUCGCGCAUCAGCCACGGCGCGGUGAAUACGUUCCCGGGCCUUGUACACACCGCCCGUCAAGCCAUGGGAGCCGGGGGUACCUGAAGUGCGUAACCGCGAGGAGCGCCCUAGGGUAAAACUGGUGACUGGGGCUAAGUCGUAACAAGGUA
rnacentral:rRNA from 1 species